CUGUCUCCCUCUUUGCCCAAGCAUAGCCCCACACAGCGCGUCUUCUGGCCUCCGGCCAGGAGUGCUCGCCGUCUCGCACCGGUUGCCUGGUGCACGGGCGAGAACCGGCCAGAGAUCGAGGAUGCCGACCAUGGCGAGCUUUGGACUCUCCUACCCCACAUUUGCGGUGACAACCAGGUGUUCAGUCCGCGGUGUGGUGGUGGUCGCUUAGUUCAGUCCGCCAUGGAAGGUGCAGCCGGCCAAAUGAUCAUCCUGAUCCUCGGCAUCGUUGUCGCAGCACCCAUGACCUUCUACACCAUCAACUUCAUGGAGAUGCGAGAUGGUCCAAUCCUGUCAGCGCGCAAGACAUUGGCGGCCGCCAAGUUAGUUGAAGUGGUAGAGGAGAACAAGCCAAAGGGGGAGGCUCAGAAGGAGAAGCGAGUGGAAAAAUCUAGGCAGCAGAGAAGGGCCAUGCCAUACCUAAAGACCACUUGGACAACAAAGAGAAGGAGCUCAUCAAGGCUGCAACCAAAGGGGGUAAUGCUCUGUUCUUAA
rnacentral:misc_RNA from 1 species